CAACGUAGUGGGGCUUUUAGCAGCGAGGUGGUGGAACCGUAACCAGAGCUAACAGGACUGAGUAUUGGAUUUAAAUGUUUCAGUUUUGCCCGUAAGGGGACAAAAGAAUUGAGCAAAAUAAGAUUGACGCAGCUUUUAGAAAAGAUCAGCGCCAACACCGUUGAUGUUAUUGGAUAUGACAGCACUGUAAGAGAGGGUUACCUGUUGGUGGGCCUGGUGGUGAUCAUUACCUUCAAGGAAACAGUGCUGCAGGUUCCCCGGGUCUCUGCGGUGAUGAGGCUCUUCUCUGGGCCGCAGUAUGCGGAGCUGGAGGGCGUCCACCUCAGUGAACUGACACUUACUGAGGAAAGCUGUGAGGAGGAGCCUCAGUACUCGCAGUCCAUCUGCACCGUCUCCUCCACUCAGCUGACGGGCCCCGCUGUCACGCAUGUAGCCCCCUGACCUUCAAAGCUGGACCCCAGACCCUCCAACGCCAGACAGCUUCUGACUUGUAACCGCUGUGUAGAUCCGAAGUGUUUUGUCUUUGUUACACUGCCUCCUGGUGUACUGGAAGAUGCACUCAUUGAUUGUUUUUGGCCACACGGAGGCAGUAGAACCAGGUAAAAUUCCCUAAAUUCCAUCAGUCGUUUUUCAUUUAAAAAAAGUUUUUUACCCUUUUGUUACAUUGGUAUUAAUGCGUUUGGACGUUAGAUAACAGGGUCCGGUAUGGAACAACAUACAACCAGGUUGUGUCAAAGAAUCCUCACUCAGCCCCUUUCAUUUACUCCUUUAAAAUACGCCCAGGAGCUUGUGUUUGUUUGUUUGUGUGUGUUUGUGGGAUUACAGAUAGAAUUUCACAAAAACUUGGUGGAGGGGUGUUCCACUGACCAAGGAUCCAGUUAGGAUACCCACGUCAUGUUUUGACUUCUGGAAUCAGCGUUGCUCACCUUGUGUCCUUCUAGUAUCAGACUGUUUUAGGAUAAAUCAAAGGAAGAACGGUCCAAAUGGAAGAAGCAAUGACAUCUUGACUUUUUGUUGAUAGAGUGGGUCAAGCUCAGUAAACGGUGGAUCCUGUACUACCCAUGAUGCAACUUGAUAACUUCUCUUCACACAUGUCAACAUGUGUUGACUUCAGUUUAACCUCCAAAUAAAGUGGUUUGUAUAAUCUGG
ensembl:lncRNA